UACGUAGGGUGCAAGCGUUGUCCGGAAUUAUUGGGCGUAAAGAGCUCGUAGGCGGUUUGUUGCGUCGGCUGUGAAAUCCCGAGGCUCAACCUCGGGUCUGCAGUCGAUACGAGCAAACUAGAGUGUUGCAGGGGAGACUGGAAUUCCUGGUGUAGCGGUGAAAUGCGCAGAUAUCAGGAGGAACACCCGUGGCGAAGGCGGCUCUCUGGAUCGACCCUGACGCUGAGGCGCGAAAGCGUGGGGAGCGAACGGG
rnacentral:rRNA from 1 species